AGUAAGUUAUGAAAACAGCAAUCACUUUUUGAAAUGCUAUCAAUAUUUUUCCUUUAUCGAAUAUCAAAUUUUUGUUGAUGAUUUUUUUGACGAACGCGUGUUUUGUGAGGCAUUCCAUAAAUGUACUCACUUCUAAAGCGUAGAAAAAUAAAUCAAGAAAUAAUUACUGAAAAUGGUAAAGUUUAAGCAAAUAACGAAUGGUUACAAAAAUGAAAAUGGAGUCAUCAGGAAGAAGAAAGAAAGGCCCAAAAAAUUACAACCGGGAGUGUUGAAUAAAGAAUUUUUAAUAUUUACAAUUGUGAUCCCUUCAAAUCUGUACCUAAAAUUUGAGCACAGCAUAUAAAAGAAGGAAAAGACACACACACACAACGUGGCUGGCGAAAUCACACAUCUUUGUAGUGUAAUAAAUAACGAGGUAAACCUGGUUCAAAAGCAAUGUGAAAAGCAGCUGCAGCGAAAGAGACCUUCCACCGAUUUUUAUUGCUACAACAGGCGUUUUGAAAAUUCUCGGAAUAUGUUGCACGAAAAAAAAUAAAAAUAUCUUGAUAAAAAAAAACUUGGUACACAUGUUCCUUGACGCCCACAAAAUUACGUUAACAGAGAAUGUAGAUUUAUGUAAGCAAAACUUGAGUGGGUGGUGGUGGCGCAGAUAUCGGUUAAUAUGAGAUAUAUCUUAGCCAAAUUAAUGCAACGUAUAACCUUUGAAAUAUAGAGGACAAAUGUGCACUGUUUUAUUGAACCUGGACAUGGCAGAGAAACAAGCAAAAAGCCCUUUCUUACUAUCAUUCAACAAAAGCGACUUUGGUCUUAAACGGCAAAUCAAUGGAAGUAUGUCCUUUGGAGUGACAACACACAUUGAGCCUAAUGGUUGCAGUUAUGUUUGAUAGUCAAUAAAGCAAACAUUACAUUCACGGUAUGUUUCACGCGUAGUGAAGCGUGGUGGUGGUGUUAAUACAUUUGCUGGUAUGGGCAUUACUCCACUUUAUAGAAUUGAUGGCAUUUGGAAGAAGAAGGGAUAUGUCGAUAUAGUGAAGAAUAUCAUGUUGUCGUGGACUGAGAACAAUCUGUUUGUUAUAUGGAAAUUUUAAAAUUGUCAUCAUAUUUUGACUAGAACACAAUAAUAUGUUUCUGAGAUGAUGUUAAUGAGCUGUCAGUGGCAAAAUAUAUCGCAAAUAUUGAUGUUCUUUUUGAUAAAAUAAAAACUGCAUUCAAAUCACAAAAAAUCCGCAUUGAAUGAUUUGAUGUUUGUUUUUAUGUAAAUUGUCCCUAUGUAUACAAAAAUAAAAUGAACGCAAAAAAGUAUGAAAAUACA